rnacentral:rRNA from 1 species
AUUGAACGCUGGCGGCAGGCCUAACACAUGCAAGUCGAUCGAGUUGCGGACGGGUGAGUAAUGUCUGGGCAUCUGCCUGAUGGAGGGGGAUAACUACUGGAAACGGUAGCUAAUACCGCAUACCGUCAUAUGAGCCCAGAUGGGAUUAGCUUGUUGGUGGGGUAACGGCUCACCUAGGCGACGAUCCCUAGCUGGUCUGAGAGGAUGACAAGCCACACUGGAAAUGAGACACGGUCCAGACUCCUACGGGAGGCAGCAGUGGGGAAUAUUGCACAAUUGGCGCAAGCCUGAUGCAGCCAUGCCGCGGGUAUGAAGAAGGCCUUCGGGGUGUAAAGUACUUUCAGCGGGGAGGCGUUACCCGCAGAAGAAGCACCGGCUAACUCCGUGCCAGCAGCCGCGGUAAUAC